rnacentral:rRNA from 1 species
UACGAAGGGGGCUAGCGUUGUUCGGAAUUACUGGGCGUAAAGGGAGCGUAGGCGGCUCUAUAAGUUGGAUGUGAAAGCCCCGAGCUUAACUUGGGAAUAGCACUCAAUACUGUAGAGCUAGAGAGUGAUAGAGGAUGAUGGAAUUCCUAGUGUAGAGGUGAAAUUCGUAGAUAUUAGGAGGAACACCAGUGGCGAAGGCGGUCAUCUGGGUCACUACUGACGCUAAGGCUCGAAAGCGUGGGGAGCAAAC